GCGGUCGUGGCGAAACGGCAGACGCGGCAGGCUCAAACCCUGCUGCCGAGAGGCGUGUGGGUUCGACCCCCACCGACCGCACCA
rnacentral:tRNA from 1 species